rnacentral:rRNA from 1 species
AGUGGUGUGUUUGUCUUUAUGCAUAUUAGGAGCUACCCCUGGAAGAUGAGGGUAAAACCGUUAGGCUUCCUCGUUAGCUCCCCUUGGGUAUCUCCCAGAUGGUAUGUUUUUUUUGAAAACGUACACCAAAAGGCAUACGCUACACUGUAUUCAUGUUAAGGAAACAGACAAUACAUCCGAGAGAAUACAUAAACAAAGACAGGGAACAGGAAACAACAGACCCCGCCAAAACUACGAAGAGGACCCUGAAGAAAUAAGAAACUACACCCAGGUCCCUUAUCUUCUUCGUGUUCAUUGCAACCGCAACACAGCUGAAUCCAUCGCGGGCGCCGGAAUGAUCGAUGGGAGAACAGCUUGCUGCAGAUGUCUUGUCCUUGGAGGUGAAGAAGCCCCUUGCCAGAUGGCGUUGUUGAGCCACAGUAGCCACCAACUCCUCAGAGUCGGAUCUUGAAACCGAGAAGGAACACGGCCGGCGACAUCUCCCACUGACGAGAGCACUCACCAAGCUUCCGCCGCUCUGGAUCUGGGGACGAAGCCACACCGCCCAGCAAAAGACGGCCAGAUCCUCCACCACAAGCCGCAACCCAAGGUCGUCACUUCCAGAAACCUAGUCCAGCGCGCAGACAUGCCUGCUCCUCCCCCUGCCACCACGGCCAGCCAGAGAAAGCAAGGACGCGCACCGGCGUCUCCAACUUCAGAACCACCCCCAGAAACUCCACUGUGAGGCCGGAGCCCACCUCAACGCCGCGAAGUCGGAGACAGGGGACAAAAAAGCCACAACCAGGUCGUCACCUCCGCCGCCACGACCUGGCCCAGGCCACCGAAACCCGCCAGAUCCAUAGAUCGACGAGCACCCUACGACGGCCGCUCGACGGCAUCGCCCCAGAAGACGGUGCCGAGGUGGAAGACGAGCAGCUGAACCUUUAUUCCACAUACGCGACGCCGGCACCACCCCACCGCUGCCACCGGGAAGACCUAAACUACUAUGAACACACCUAACCUAAGGCACAGAACCCGGGCCCCUCCACUCUCCCACCGCCGGAAUGGCGGCCGGAGAGGAGAGAGACCACGGAUCUGGCCGUCGGUGGAAAGGGGAACGAGAAGAGUUUGUGUUUCGUAGCAAUACUACUACAUAUCAAAUCAACAUGUAAGUCAUUCCCGGCACGGCCUCUGCCUCGGCAGCCCGUAUAAUAAUCGUGCCUCGGCCGGCCGGGCCGGGCCAGAGCAACGGUACCAUACUGAAACCUCGGUGUCAUGUGAGAUUUGAUUUAUUCUCUGGGCACACCAUCUGCCAUUUUUGUACGAACAGUGCUGCUCUGUUUCCUCUGCAAACCAGAGCAGGCAAUUUACCAGUUC